rnacentral:rRNA from 1 species
AGUGAACGCUGGCGGUAGGCCUAACACAUGCAAGUCGAACGGCAGCACAGUAAGAGCUUGCUCUUACGGGUGGCGAGUGGCGGACGGGUGAGGAAUACAUCGGAAUCUACUUUUUCGUGGGGGAUAACGUAGGGAAACUUACGCUAAUACCGCAUACGACCUACGGGUGAAAGCAGGGGAUCUUCGGACCUUGCGCGAUUGAAUGAGCCGAUGUCGGAUUAGCUAGUUGGCGGGGUAAAGGCCCACCAAGGCGACGAUCCGUAGCUGGUCUGAGAGGAUGAUCAGCCACACUGGAACUGGGACACGGUCCAGACUCCUACGGGAGGCAGCAGUGGGGAAUAUUGGACAAUGGGCGGAAGCCUGAUCCAGCCAUACCGCGUGGGUGAAGAAGGCCUUCGGGUUGUAAAGCCCUUUUGUUGGGAAAGAAAAGCAGCAGGUUAAUACCCCGCUGUUCUGACGGUACCCAAAGAAUAAGCACCGGCUAACUUCGUG